AGUACUGCCAGACUGGAACCGGGAGAGGUAAGAGGUACUACAGGGGUAGGAGUGAAAUCUUGUAAUCCCUGUGGGACCACCUGUGGCGAAGGCGUCUUACCAGAACGGGUUCGACGGUGAGGGACGAAAGCUGGGGGCACGAACCGGAUUAGAUACCCGGGUAGUCCCAGCCGUAAACGAUGCUCGCUAGGUGUCAGGCAUGGCGCGACCGUGUCUGGUGCCGCAGGGAAGCCGUGAAGCGAGCCACCUGGGAAGUACGGCCGCAAGGCUGAAACUUAAAGGAAUUGGCGGGGGAGCACAACAACGGGUGGAGCCUGCGGCUUAAUUGGACUCAACGCCGGACAACUCACCGGGGGCGACAGCAAUAUGUAGGCCAAGCUGAAGACUUUGCCUGAAUCGCUGAGAAGAGGUGCAUGG
rnacentral:rRNA from 1 species